rnacentral:rRNA from 1 species
GGUACUCCGGGGAUAACAGGCUGAUACCGCCCAAGAGUUCAUAUCGACGGCGGUGUUUGGCACCUCGAUGUCGGCUCAUCACAUCCUGGGGCUGAAGUAGGUCCCAAGGGUACGGCUGUUCGCCGUUUAAAGUGGUACGCGAGCUGGGUUUAGAACGUCGUGAGACAGUUCGGUCCCUAUCUGCCAUGGGCGUAGGAAAAUUGAGAGGGUUUGCUUCUAGUACGAGAGGACCGAAGUGAACGCACCGCUGGUGUACGGGUUGUGAUGCCAAUUGCAUUGCCCGGUAGCUACGUGCGGGAUAGAUAAGUGCUGAAAGCAUCUAAGCACGAAACUAGCCUUGAGAUGAGUUUUCCCAGAUGAGAAUCUGUAAGGUCCGUUUGAGACUAAGACGUAGAUAGGUCAGGUGUGUAAGUGUAGUGAUACAUUGAGCUAACUGAUACUAAUGAACCGAGAGUCUUAACCUUACAACUC